rnacentral:lncRNA from 1 species
GGGAAUGAGAAGGUAAUUUUGAAUGGGAUUGGGAUUGGGAUUGGGAAUGAGCCAGGUGCCUUUGAACACCAUCAUGGGCUGCAGCUCCACAGGAAUUCCCACCUGGAGUUCUGGGAAGUGCUCACCCCCUUCACUUCCCCAUUCCUGCUGGGAAUUCCCAGCUCAUCCUGGGAUCACAGCUACCCCCAAACUGUGGGAUCAGGGGCACCCCACUGCUCCCCUCCCCUUCCCGCUUUUCCUCCUGCAAUUCCCAUAAAUUUAAACCACUCUGGGAUCGGGAUUGGGAUUAGGAUCAGGAUCGGGAUCAGGAUCAGGAUCAGGAUCAUGAUUGGGAUUCCACCAUAGUGAAGGAUCUUUGGGGCAGAAUUCCCAGGUUCCCAAAGAUCCCAGGAGUGGGAAGGAUCCUCUGGGCCAGGAAAGGGGCUGCAGGAAUUCCCACCUGGAAUUUCAGGAAGAGCUCAUCCCCCUUUACUUCCCUUUUCCCCCUGGGAAUUCCCAGCUGGAAUACUUCCCUUUUCCUCCUGGAAUUCCCAUCAUUUUGAACCACUCUGGGAUCAGGAUCGGGAUCAGGAUCAGGAUCGGGAUUCCUCCUCAGUGAAGGAUCCUCGGGGCAGAAUUCCCAGAAUCCCGAAGAUCCCAGGAGUGGGAAGGAUCCUCUGGUCCAGGAAAGGGUCUGGGAGAAGAAUCCCAGCAGGGGCUGCAGCUCCACAGGAAUUCCCACCUGGAAUUUCGGGAGGCGCUCACCCCCCCCUUCACUCCCCCAUUCCCAUUGGGAAUUCCCAGCCGAUCCCGGGAUCUCAGCUGUGGGAUCUUCCCGUUUUUCCUCCCGGCAUUCCCAUACUUUUAAGCGGCUCUGCGGGAUCAUCCUGCGGGCGGAAUUCCAAGGAUUCCCGGGGAUCCCGGCACCGGGAAGGUGCCGCCGCUUCCCGGGGGAGUGGCGGCUCCCCGGGACCGCCUCUCCCGCUCCUUCCCCCUUCCUGCCCCGGCUCCUUCCGCGCUCCGGGAGCGGCUCCGGCUUUUCCCGGGAUCCCGGGGGCUGGGGUGGGGGGGGGUGGGGGAGGAUCCCCCCCCUGCACCGGGAGCGGGAAGGAUUCCCGGGAAUCCGCGGCCGGAAUUCCCAAAGCUCCGCCGCUCAGGGAAGGGAUGCUCCUCCGCUGACG